rnacentral:rRNA from 1 species
UAGGGAAUCUUCGGCAAUGGACGAAAGUCUGCCGAAAGCAACGCCGCGUGAGUGAAGAAGGUUUUCGGAUCGUAAAACUCUGUUGGUAGAGAAGAACGUUGGUGAGAGUGGAAAGCUCAUCAAGUGACGGUAACUACCCAGAAAGGGACGGCUAACUACGUGCCAC